GACCUUCUUAAGAAACUGUGCGUAGUUAGUGGGAUAUUACGUGCAUCCAGUGGUUAUAUCCCGUGUUAGAGGCUGUAUUUGACUAAUUUCCCUUGUUUAUUUGUUGUCCAAAAUUAUUUGACUUGUGUUAUCAUUUUUAUAUUAAUAUAAAGUCGUGGGAAAAAACUCAAUAAACACCCAUCUAAGCAAAAGGGGGUUGUUGAAGCCUUGAAAUAAGUAACAUUAUUAUUUCCUUCACUCAAAUGCAAGAUUAAAGAAGAAAAAGCUGAGAGAAUGGAAGGCUUGGUCCCAAUGGUGUUGAAGAUGUUCAAGAAGAGGAGCGAGACUCGCCGGGAAUGCAAUUCUCUCUCGGCUCCUGCAACUCAUAGUUACAAUAUAGUGGACUUCUAUCCUAAUGGUUACAACUUCCAGUAUGGGAGAGUACCGAGGCAACAACAGGAUCAAAGGAUUGAUGAUGGUUUUCGUGCUGAAACUAAGUUUAGCCAACGACGAAACAAGUCUUUUAAUCAUGUUGGUUAUGCUGCUGGUGGCCGAUAUUCCCCUCUGGAUUCUGUCAAGUCCUGUAAACAACUUGUGAGUCAGCGAAGAAUGUUCUCAUGUAUCACUGGUGCCUAAAACUUUGUCCCUCCCUCCCCCACCCCCCGGCCUUCAUGUCAUGUCUCCCGGCCUUCAUGUUCUCAUGAAAUCUGAUACUCGUUCAUUGCCAAUGAAGUUUCCCUGGGAAGAAUAAGGACCUGAACUUGUAAUCUUCAUGCUUAGUCUCAAUACCAAAGAUGAAGCAGAUUCCAUGGCAUUUGUUCCAUCAUCAUCAGCUGAACUCAUAGGGGAAGACUGUUCUUAUUCUUCCUGAUUCACACAACUUUUAGCUUCCUGUAAGCAGAUAGUUCCUUCAUAUAUCUACAGCUUGCAAAUAAUUGGAAAGGGUAAUAAUAUAUCUAAGAAGUGACUCCCAAUCUACUCUCAUUUUCCAUCAUGUUUUCCUUAUGUAAAAAACUGAUAAAAUUAAGUAGUAUUCGUAUCAGAUGUGCUUGACUAGACACUGUCCGAAUCCAUCUAUCUUACCGAUUAUUGGAUCUUCACAUACAGCAUAAUGCAAAUUCAAAUUUUUUGUUAUUCUUUUUAGCAGAAAUAGAAAAGCAUUCAUUAUAAUCCAAAAUUCAUACUUGAACUACAUGUGGAUGGGAGAUUAAGUUCAAAUCAUUCAAGAAUGCAGCAACUUCUACUGUACAAAUAUCGGUUGCUUAUUUUGUAACCAAACUUCAAUUUAUAAAAAUUCUUUGGACAAAUAUAUGCAGCAUUUGCUACAUUUUCUUUCACAUGUUAUAUAGAUCCUACAUGCUAUCAGAUAGAAGGAGUCUACACAAAAAUCAUAAACCCUUUUCUUCCAGGCUGAGGAAAGCAGAAGAUUUUAAAAACAAGAAAUAAAAAAAUUACAAAAACUACUUGCACAACACCUAGAAUCAAGAUUGAAAGAUUGCACUAGAAGUAGUACUUAUCAAAAAAAAAAAAACUGCACUUGCAACAAUAAUUAAGAAUCACUACCGGCAGAAGAAGAAAAUCUCAUACGCUGGUCCGAUCUAAAUAAUAAAAUGCAGGGUCAAUAGACAAAGUUCGGAAUCUAGUUGCUGUUAAAAUAUAUCGAUGGUUCAAUGUGGAGUGAUGAAUGUGUUUGCUGAUGAUCAUCUAACCAUAAUAAUUCUGCAGAAAGUGAGGAAAAUGAAGAAAAAGAUGAUUAGAUGACCAUCAACAAAACAUAUUCAUCAUCAUAUCUGCAUAAAACACACACAAAAGGUCUUAAACUCCAGCAAAGUCAUACUACUAAAGGACAAACACCCAUAAUAGGACGGUUUGUAUUAUAAGUCUUGCAAGUAUAUACUCUGGAAUAUUUCUCCAAGAUAAGCAUAUUCUUUGGGAAUAAACCUCCAGUUGGACUCCUUAUAAUGGUUGGUGAGAAAUGAAUGAGUGUUCAUUUUGAAUUUGAAGAGUGAAAAACUUACCAACACAUAAAUGGUGAAUACUGUGAGAGAUGGUGAUAAAGAGACUGGGUAAGAGAGAUAGAGACUGUAAUGGACUAUAAUAAUG
rnacentral:lncRNA from 1 species